rnacentral:lncRNA from 1 species
UAUGUAGCUUGUUGUUUUGGGGUGUAGAAAAUGCCAUGUUGCUGUUUUUGGACAGUUUGUAGUCAUUUCUUGUUUAGCUUGUAUUUGUUGAACCGUUGCUCUGUUUGAAAUGUGUUAUAUACGAAACUUGCUUGGAAUCUCGUAUAGGUUCAUAUUAUAUUGCUGCCUUCUUGGUUAGGAAUGCUUGUGAUUAUCAUUGCAUACAUGGCAUCAUAUCUUGCGGUGAUUAUAUCUUUUGAACCGUAUUUCCGUUUGCAAUGAUCUCUAUGUGUAAAUUGAUUGGAACGACGCGUAGAAUCACGUGAACGACUUUAUUUUAUUGUUUAACAAAUAUUAAAAUGUGUUAGUUCAGAUCUCGACAGAAUUAUAAAUUAACGUACGGGGUCAGUUCGAAGAUGGUAUAAGUCGUUUCCGACCCCAUUUAAAAUGCCUAGAUAGGUAGCUUAAUUAUGCUUCACCUCUUGCCAUAUUUAACCAACAUUUAAUAUGGCCGUGAAAAUAAACAGGAGUGAACUAAAUAAUUAAAUGUGGAGUUUCGUCAAUAUGCAACUCGGUGCACAUUAAACUUCACUUAAUGUGUAGUGUUUGAAUGUGUGAAUUGCCAUGUCAUUCUGUGCAUAAUUGAUACCGUUCAUGCAUCAUAUGUGUUGUGCAUCGUGUGGUGAAUAUCGUGUGUUGAUUCUUGUUUUCGGUUUGCUUCGUCUCGAUAGAGUUCCACAAGCGUGUCGGAAUGUGAGGACCCGUUCGUCUACAUCGGUUCGUCUGCUUCACAAAGCCAUUCUUAUUCCAAGCAGGAUAUCAUGCAAGAUGAUCAUUUCCCUAGAUACUAUUACUAUCAUUGCCAAGUUAGUGUUUCGUAUCUAUCGUUAUGUCGCGCUGCCUACCACCUGUUAAAUAUCAGUCUCUCAACAUUGCCAUGAAACCUUCAACCUUUUACAACCUAGCAAACCACUGAUUGACUAUGUUACCGCUUGCUUAACCAUGUGUUAGCGUUGCUAGUUAUAGGUGAAGUUGGUUCCAUGUGAUAACAUGGGUUCCUUGUUAUAUCACCAUAUUAAUGCUAUUUAAAUUAAUUCACCUAUAUACUUGGUAAAAAGUGGAAGGCUCGGCCUUUCUAGCCUGGUGUUUUGUUCCACCUUUGCCGCCUUAGUUUCGGCUACCGGUGUUAUAUUCCAUAAUUGAGCGCUCCUACCAAGAUCAGGGUUGUUAUGGGGACCCCCUUGAUAUCCGUCUUAGAUUAAAACUGGUCUAGCAAGGCUCAACUUUGGUUCUACAUUUUCCUAAUAACUAAUAAAUAGCAUAGGGACCUGCCGGCACCCGUGGAUAAUUAAUCAACCCCGGGUCAGUGCUCCGCAUGAGUGUUGGUCAACCCACCUAGAAGUCGGCGGUGCCACCUCGGGGCAACUCGAGGGUUUUGCUAUCGUCCAUUAUGCAUAGACGGUUGUGUCCUGAGAACAAGAUACGCGGGUCCUAUCGGGUUCGUCGACACACCGGGUGGCCUUGCUAGAUUAGUUUACCUUUGACGAAUGUCUUGUGCAUCGGGAUUCCGGUGAUGCUUUGGGUAAUCUCAGAGUUGAGGUUUUCCACUAAGGAGUCCGAUGAGAUCGCGAGUUUCGUGAUCGAGGAUUUCUAUGCAGCUUGUGGUAAUUUGUGAUGGACUAGUUGGAGCACCCCUGUAGGGUUAAAUAUUUCGGAAAGCCGUGCCCGCCGUUAUGGGGCAACGUGAAAACUUUGUUUAACAUCCGGUUCUAGAUAACUUGAAGUAAGCUUAAUUAAAAUAUGUCAACUGAGUGCGUAACCGUGAUUGUCUCUUUCGUGAGCUCAUUCUUCGAUCGAGGACAUGGUGGGGUUAUUCUAACGUAAGUAGGUGUUCAGGAUCAUUCAUUUGAUCAUCAGUACUUCACGUCCGCUAUGCAUAGAUCAUCCCCCUCUUUAUUCUUGUACUCGUAAGUUAGCCACUAAAUGAAUGCUUAGUCGCUUGCUGCAGCCUCACCACUUAGCCAUUCCUCACCUAUUAAGCUUUGCUAGUCUUCAUACCUUUGUGAGUCCCAUAUGGCUCACACAUUACUACAACAUCAGUUGCAUGUACAGGUAAAGUGAUAUUAAGACGGGAGCGCGAUGAUUGUUCAUUUGGAGUUUCUUUUUCUUCUUCGUCGAUCUAGGAUGGGUUCCAGGCCGACAGCUUGGGAUAGCAAGGAUGGACGUCGGUCUUUUAUCGUUUGUUUUCGUCCGUAGACGGACCCUGAUAUUCUACAUGAUGAUUGUAUGUAUUGCACUACUGUGACUCUGAUAUCGAUGUAGCUUGUGGCGAGUAUAAUCCAAUUCCAUAUACUCAUCUCUUCAAUACAUGUACCUGUAAUGAUAUCCAUUCUUGAGAAACGACGAGAUGCGCUUCUAUCCCUGUCGAGGCCCUCGUGCCAAAAUAAGGAUAGGAUCUCAUCUUGGGAGUUACAAGUUGGUAUCAGAGCAGUACCGACCUAGGAGCCUCCUUGAUUGAUCGAAAUUGGUCGGGUCGAGUCUAGUGAAAAACUGCUUUGAGUUUAGUUAUAUAUGGGAAAGUAGGAUUAUUUUUUCUCCUCUUCUAUGCUCUCGUGAGGAAUCUUGACGUAAUUUUUUUAAUUCUACUCCUCUUAUCACUCAAAUUAUUUUUAGGAUCAUGCUUAUAUUUUUGGAAUCUAUAUGAUGUCGAUGUGACGGAGUUCUUUCUUGGUGCCUCCUGUAUGACUUGAUUUUUUCCGGGGAGUUAAGCUCCAAGGGAUUCUUGAGCACAUCGUUAUCAUUCAAAUUUCUUAGUAUCUCAUGACGAAGGAUGUUCGAAAUUGCUUCAAUACUAGUAGUGGCGAGAGGAGUCCGGCUUCGCCAGUACUGGUGCAGAUAGAUCCGGAUGUAUCUCCACACUUAGUAUCAUUGUGAUUAUGAGGAUCUGAGAUAGAUGAGUUUCCGAGAUUUCUGGUUAUGUGUUGACGGAUGUGAUACACUGGAUGGGUUAGAAUAGGAGUUGAGUGAUGAAUUUCUCCUUGUAUCCGUGGACCAGAUUGCAUGACCAGAAAUUUCGGAAGUUAUUACGGGGGAAUUCAAGUAACUACCUAUAGGAAAAUCUUCCAACAGAUGCAUGAUGUGAGGUUGAGGUUCGGCAUCUAGUGGAUUCGUUUGUUCACGGUUGUCUUAUAGCGAUUCUCGUUGUGUCUUAAAGAGUCCUUGUAGCUUGCUACGACUCGGGGACACUUCGUAUGUCGUGUACACUGCCUUCUACAUGAUGGCUACUGUUGGAUCGAGCCCGUGCAAUCAUAUCCAUGAAAAUAUUGGAUGGAAUCUCUGUCAUAAAUUUGUUCUGCUUGUUUCAUAAGCCACACCCUUCCUCUUGUUGGAAUAUGGUAAUUUGAGUUGCUUCGAUAUCAAGUGGUGAUUUCAUAUCUUUCCUAAGAGGUGUUCUCAUAUUUUUUGGGAAUGCAAAUUCUUUUGCUCAAUCAAGUUGUUUUUUCAAUUCUUUUUCAACACGUGUGCUUCUCUUCAAGUGAAUUCAAUCCUCUCCAAUUUUGCAAGAUCAUUCUCCCAUUUCUUUCGGAGUUCAUCUCAUCUGUCCCAAGUUGUCUUUGUUUUCCCCGCCCUCCCACCCUUUUCUUCAGUGAUUCAAUUCUCAUCCAAGUGCAUUUCAUUUCAUUCUUGCUUAUGCUAUCUUUUCUUUUCUCUCUUAUCUGGUGAUUCGUGUGUUGGAGAUUCCGAUUCAAUCUUUUCGUAUUCAUUCAUCCCUCUCUGUUCUAUCCGGAGCUUUGAAGAUAUCUCAGAAGUUUCUUCUUUUCAAUUCUUUAAUUAUUUUGAGGUGCUUAACCUCAUCAAGUUUUCUUUGUACCGGUGCAAUCUCUCUCUUUCUGAGCAAUCUUUUCAACGAUGCGUUCUUUUGAGUGGGCCCAUAACCCACAGGAUCUUUCCUAGAAUCUUUCGUGGCUCUUCUAAUCUUUUCUCGGAGAUCUCUAAUCCUUUUCAAUUAUGACGUAAGUAUGCAUUCCAUCAGUCAUAUUCCUUCUCCAAGAUUGCUUCAAAUUAAUUCUCAUCUUUGGCUCAACCUUUCAAUCUUCAUUAUUUCGGAGUGUUUUAGUUAUUCUUGGUGGUGUCCCUUCUCGUCAUUCUCAGCUUGGAAGACCGAAGUAGUGUUUCUCUCAAAUCUUGGUCCAUUCUCUUGAAGAUUCAUCAUUUCAGCUUUGUGUUAUCAUCUUGAACUGUUUCCAAUCAUGAGUAAUUCCUUCCAUAUCUAUCCGGUGCAUUUCAGAUUUGUUUCAUUCUUGAUCCUCCGAAGGCCAUCAUUUCAGAAGAUUUCUUCGUUCUCAACUUUCAGCUUUCGUUCUCAAAUUCUUCUUAAUUCUUGUCUCUUCGUUCUCUCAAUUAUUUUGGUUCCUUGUUCAGUUUUCUAUUAGGCGGCUCAAGAUCUCUUCAUUCUCAAGGUGUUCUUCAAGAUUCUUGUGGUAGUAGUUCUCAUUUUGUUCUUCGUUCAUUCUUGCCUAGAGCUAGUUUCUAUUUUUCUAACGGAGGCUUUGUGAUGUUCCUCUCUUCAACCUACCAUUUUGUCUUUUGUAGAUCAUAUUGUUCCCUUGUUCAAUUUAGUUAGUUUGUUGUGAAUCUUCAAGAUCUUUUCAUUGUAUUGAAUUUUGUCCCAUUUUCCUACCAAAGUGCUCCCGAAAUUUAGAUUGAAUUCUUGCUUAUUUCUCAUAUCAUUCUCAUCUCUUUGCAACCUCCAAGAGUCAUUGGUUUCGCUCAUUGUCAAAGAAGCAACUAAGUUUUACCUCUUCCUCGUUCUCAUCUUCUCCCCCUUUCAUUCUUGGAUCUCGGGUCGAGAUCCUCUUGUAGUGUAGGAGAGUUGUGACAGCCCGAGACCGACAUUCCAUAAGAUUCCCCUUUUAUUCCGUUCUCGUCGUGUUGUUCGUUUGUCUGUCGCAUUCAUCAUCGCAUCAUCCGCAUUGCAUCGGCACCGCCAGUUUUCAAACAUGCGUUCGCUUUUAAUUGCCGGUUCUUUUCGUUUUUGUCGCUGAGCGUUUUGAGACCAACCACACACGCCCAUGCCCGAGACAUGGAUAAAAUAUUGUUUUUAAAAGUGUCCGAAAAAUAUUCUCGGAUUGAGUCGAAACUUGGCGUGUUGUCUUAUUUUAAUAUAGGUAGGCUACCUGCCAAAUUUCGUCGCAAUCGGAGUCCGUUUGAUACCCGAGCGGUCGACCAUAGCGGCACCGUCUUCGGUUUAUCGUCACACGUUUUCAGGGUUUUAAAUAUCGUUGUCGGGUGGCCCGUUUUUCCUCUCUUCCCCACCUAGCCUCUCUACACAGCCACCUAGCCCCUACCCGCGACCAGGAUCGUCCGAUUUCGAUCCUACGGUCGAAAUUGGUGCGAAAUUCCGCAAACCCUAGGCCCUUCCUAUAAAU